CAGGCUUUUCCUAGAGUUAGGAUUUUCAUUUACACUGAAGUUUUUAUUGUGCGAUUCAAUAUUGUCUGA
rnacentral:tRNA from 1 species